rnacentral:rRNA from 1 species
CCUACGGGUGACAGCAGUGAGGAAUAUUGGUCAAUGGACGCGAGUCUGAACCAGCCAAGUAGCGUGAAGGAUGACUGCCCUAUGGGUUGUAAACUUCUUUUAUAUGGGAAUAAAAUGUUCCACGUGUGGGUUUUUGUAUGUACCAUAUGAAUAAGGAUCGGCUAACUCCGUGCCAGCAGCCGCGGUAAUACGGAGGAUCCGAGCGUUAUCCGGAUUUAUUGGGUUUAAAGGGAGCGUAGGUGGAUUGUUAAGUCAGUUGUGAAAGUUUGCGGCUCAACCGUAAAAUUGCAGUUGAAACUGGCAGUCUUGAGUACAGUAGAGGUGGGCGGAAUUCGUGGUGUAGCGGUGAAAUGCUUAGAUAUCACGAAGAACUCCGAUUGCGAAGGCAGCUCACUGAACUGCAACUGACACUGAGGCUCGAAAGUGUGGGUAUCAAACAGGAUUAGAUACCCUAGUAGUC